rnacentral:rRNA from 1 species
UUCCCGGGCCUUGUACACACCGCCCGUCACACCACGAAAGUUGGCAAUACCCGAAGCCGGUGGCCUAACCCGCAAGGGAGGGAGCCGUCGAAGGUAGGGUCGAUGAUUGGGGUGUA